UCCGAGUUGACCCCGGCAGUCUCUCACGAGUCCCCACCAUAACGUGCUGGCAACAUGAGACAAGGGUUGCGCUCGUUGCGGGACUUAACCCAACACCUCACGGCACGAGCUGACGACGGCCAUGCAGCACCUUGCUAGCCCCUUACGGACACGGGCUUUCACCCGCUUUAACUAGCAUGUCAAACCCAGGUAAGGUUCUUCGCGUUGCAUCGAAUUAAGCCACAUGCUCCGCCGCUUGUGCGGGCCCCCGUCAAUUCCUUUGAGUUUUAGCCUUGCGGCCGUACUCCCCAGGCGGGGUGCUUAAUGCGUUAGCUGCGGCACGGAAGGCGUCGAUAGCCUCCCACACCUAGCACCCAUCGUUUACGGCUGGGACUAC
rnacentral:misc_RNA from 1 species